AAUUUCCACCAUCAACUUUCAUA
rnacentral:snRNA from 1 species